rnacentral:rRNA from 1 species
AGAGUUUGAUCCUGGCUCAGAACGAACGCUGGCGGCGUGGAUAAGACAUGCAAGUCGGACGAGAAACUACACUUAGCUUGCUUUGAGUAGUUUUUAGUGGCGAAUGGGCGAGUAACACGUGAGCAACCUGCCCGAAAGAGGGGGAUAGCCCGGGGAAACUCGGAUUAAUACCGCGUGUGAUCCCUCCCAGCAUUGGGGGUGGAUUAAAGGUGGGGACCCUUAGGCGCCUGCCGCUUCUGGAUGGGCUCGCGGCCUAUCAGCUUGUUGGUGAGGUAACGGCCCACCAAGGCAACGACGGGUAGCUGGUCUGAGAGGAUGGUCAGCCACACUGGAACUGAGACACGGUCCAGACACCUACGGGUGGCAGCAGUCGAGAAUCAUUCACAAUGGACGAAAGUCUGAUGGUGCAACGCCGCGUGGAGGAUGACGGUCUUCGGAUUGUAAACUCCUGUCAUCAGGGAGUAAGUCAGUGGUCACGAAUAGCGAUCACUGUUGCUAGUACCUGAAGAGGAAGAGACGGCUAACUCUGUGCCAGCAGCCGCGGUAAUACGGAGGUCCCAAGCGUUGUUCGGAUUUACUGGGCGUAAAGCGUGCGUAGGCGGCGAGGUAAGUCAGAUGUGAAAGCUCAGGGCUCAACCCUGAAAUUGCAUCCGAUACUGCCUUGCUAGAGUAAUGGAGGGGGGUCUGGAAUUCAUGGUGUAGCAGUGAAAUGCGUAGAUAUCGUGAGGAACACUAGUGGCGAAGGCGAGACCCUGGAUACUUACUGACGCUCAGGCACGAAGGCUAGGGUAGCGAAGCGGAUUAGAUACCCGCGUAGUCCUAGCAGUAAACGGUGCGCGUUUGGUGUGGGAGGAUUCGACCCCUUCCGUGCCGGAGCUAACGCGUUAAACGCGCCGCCUGGGGAGUACGAUCGCAAGAUUAAAACUCAAAGAAAUUGACGGGGACCCGCACAAGCGGUGGAGUAUGCGGCUUAAUUCGAUGCAACGCGAAGAACCUUACCUGGGUUUGACAUGCUUGUCGUAGUCCUGCGAAAGCAGGACGUCAGCUCGGCUGGACUUGCACAGGUGCUGCAUGGCUGUCGUCAGCUCGUGUCGUGAGAUGUUGGGUUAAGUCCAGCAACGAGCGCAACCCCUGUGAAUAGUUGCCAACGCGUAAUGGCGGGGACUCUAUUCAGACUGCCCAGAUCAACUGGGAGGAAGGUGGGGACGACGUCAAGUCAGUAUGGCCUUUAUGCCCAGGGCUGCACACGUACUACAAUGCCCAGCACAAUGAGAACCAAUACCGCGAGGUGGAGGAAAUCUGUAAAACUGGGCCCAGUUCGGAUUGGAGGCUGCAACUCGCCUCCAUGAAGUUGGAAUCGCUAGUAAUGCCGUAUCAGCUACAACGGCGUGAAUACGUUCCCGGGUCUUGUACACACCGCCCGUCACAUCAUGGAAGCCGGCCGCACCCGAAGUAUAUUUUUUCGGCCUAAGGCGAGGCUGGUAACUGGGAUGAAGUCGUAACAAGGUAACC